rnacentral:lncRNA from 1 species
GAAUUAUGCAGUUAACACUGCACAGUACAAGAUGACAUUGACCCUGUAACAAACGGUAUCCAUCGAAGUUGCCUGCUAUAUUUCUGAAAUUCUGGAUGCUGCUACAGAAAGUCAUAACACAAUCCCACGAAGAUGGCCAGCUGGACUUUCCAGGCUCCCUCGGUAAGCAGUCCAUGGACAGAGCCAUACCCCUCCGCAGCAGGGGCCUGACUGCAGCACUUCAGGUGUUUUCUGGAGGCAGCUCUCUCUCUGCACAGACUGUAGAGUGGACUGGAUCAAAUAAUAUAGCCAGAUGAACGAGGAAUGGUGUGGAUUGACUCACCAGUCUUAUCUUUGAAGCCUGGCAGCAGGCUUACAUACCCACUCCCCACAGCACAGCCCACUGAUGGCACCGAAAGAUCAUGCUUCCUGUGCGAGGUGUGCUGUGGCUGACCAGUUGUAUCACCAGAUAAAGGAGCCGCGGGAGGAAGUUAGUAGGCUGCAUAGCAUCCGAGAAGAUGAGCAGGAGAUUGACAGGGCAUUCUCGGAGACUGUGCAGCUCCAGGAGUCCCCACCCCCCACUGCAGCGGAGUUGUCGGAGGGCUCUGUACCGUGUGCAACGGUACAUCAUAACGCUGUUGAAGAGGGCUGGAAACUGGUGACCUCUCGUGGAAGGAGAAAGGCUCUUACUCCUCCUCAAGACUUACCCUUGAAGAACAAGUUUAGCGCCCUCCAAGCUGAGGAGGAGCUGGGCAUGGCUCCAAGGGAGGCAACUGGCCUGGCAGACCCUGUGCCGUGCAGGAACACCCGGAAGAAACGGCGAGUGGUUGUUGUGGGUGACUGCCUGCUGUAGGGGACAGAGGCACCUAUCUGCCGACCUGACCUCUUGUCCAGAGAGUUUUGCUGCCCGCCAGGGGCUCGAAUAAGAGAUGUCAUGGAAAGACAGCCCAGGCUUGUCCAUGCAUCAGACUACUACCCUCUGCUGAUCUUCCAUGUGAGAGCUAACGACAUGAAAGGCAAAUUGGAAACCAUCAAAUGGGACUUCAGAGCUCUGGGAAUGGUGUUUAAGGCACUGGGAGCUGAUAGGCGCCACACAGGCAACCAUGGGGCUCAGGAUGGUGCAGCGCGUAGAAGAGGGGUUUGCUCUGGGGUGCUCCCCAAGAGUUUAGGAACCCCGGGUGCACCGCGGCCAGAGCCACCACACUGUGGGGUUGCCAUAGCCUCAUGAGUGCAGAGCACGAGUGCAGAGCAAACCUAGUCAGCAAAGGAGAAGUGACACCGCAGACUCACACUGUAAGCAUCUGGAUACCUUGGAAUUGCGUACUGAUAGCUGUUGAAUGUGCACACUGAUAGCUGCUGACUGUGCGCACUGAUAGCUGUUAAAGGUGCAACUGUUAAACAUGCACACUGAUAGCUGCUGAAUAUACUGAUAAGCAUCCUGUUGACCAUCCUGUUGGCAUCCCUACUGUUAUCACCUAAGACCAUCCGUUCCAUUGUCCAGCUAUGGUCUGGCACUGAUCAAUGAACUAAGCCCAGGAAGGAUAAAAGAGAGUAAGCCACAUACCUCUGUGUGGACUCGGACU